rnacentral:sRNA from 1 species
AGCAGCCGCGGUAAUUCCAGCUCCAAUAGCGUAUAUUAAAGUUGUUGCAGUUAAAAAGCUCGUAGUUGAAUUUCGGGAUCAGUUGAUCGGUCGUGCCUCGGUACGUACUGGUCAAAUUGAUUCCUACCUUCUGACGAACCACGAUGUCAUUAAUUUGGUGUCGUGGGAAAUCAGGACUGUUACUUUGAAAAAAUUAGAGUGUUUAAAGCAGGCUCGCGCUUGAAUACAUUAGCAUGGAAUAAUGAAAUAGGACGUUUGAUUCUAUUUUGUUGGUUUCUAGGAUCGACGUAAUGAUUAAUAGGGAUAGUUGGGGGCAUUAGUAUUCAAUUGUCAGAGGUGAAAUUCUUGGAUUUAUUGAAGACUAACUACUGCGAAAGCAUUUGCCAAGGAUGUUUUCAUUAAUCAAGAACGAAAGUUAGGGGAUCGAAGACGAUCAGAUACCGUCGUAGUCUUAACCAUAAACUAUGCCGACUAGGGAUCGGAUGAUGUUAAUUUUUUAAUGACUCAUUCGGCGCCUUAC